CAAGGCGAGGCGAACUGCUCAGUAACACGUAGUCAACCUGCCCUUAGAACGGGAAUAAUCCUGGGAAACUGGGGCUAAUGCCCGAUAAUUGCCUAUGUCUGGAAUGGCUUGGCAAUCAAAGCUUCGGCGUCUAAGGAUGGGACUGCGGCCGAUCAGGCUGUUGCGAGGGUAAUGUCCUCACAAACCUAUAACCGGUAGGGGGCAUGAAAGUGUGAGCCCCGAGAUGGAUUCUGAGACAUGAAUCCAGGUCCUACGGGACGCACCAGUUACGGAAACUCCACAAUGCGCGCAAGCGUGAUGGGGGAAUUCGGAGUGUUGAGGUUUUUAACUUCAACUUUUAGCGAGGUUAGUGCCCUCGCAGAAUAAGUGGUGGGCAAGACGGGUGCCAGCCGCCGCGGUAAUACUCCCGCCACAAGUGGUAAUCGCGAUUAUUUGGCCUAAAUAGUUCGUAGCCGGUCUAGAAAGUCUCUGGUGAAAUCUGGAAGUUGACUGUCAGGCGUGCUGGGGAAACUACUAAGACUCGGGACCGGGAAAGGACACGGGUACUUUCGGGGUAGGGGUAAAAUCCUGUAAUCCUGAAAGGACCACCAGUGGCGAAGGCGCGCGUCUAGAACGGGUUCGACGGUGAUGGACGAAAGCUAAGGGAGCAAACGGGAUUAGAUACCCCAGUAGUCCUAUCUGUAAACGAUGCAGACUUGGUGUUGCCAGUUCUUCGAUAACAGGCAGUGCUCUACUGUAGAUGUUAAGUCUGCCGCCUGGAGAGUACGACCGCAACGUUGAAACUAAAAGAAUUGGCGGGAGAUCACACAAGGAGUGUAGGCUGCACUUAAUUGU
rnacentral:rRNA from 1 species